AAGUGGCCAGAUGUCUGGAGCCUGUGCAGAAUACACUAGGUGGGGUCCCGGAACCGACAACUUCUAAGCAAGAGGAAACAGAGAUGCAAGAAAGUCAAGCUGAGAUUGACAGGCGAGGAGACUGGAGUGGACCAACAUGACAGAAGUCUUGAAAUUGAGGAUCUAAGUGGCAUUGGCAAUGUAUCUCUGCAUGUUGGCUGUUACCUCCAUAAGGUGAAA